GGACCUGUAGCUCAGUUUGGAUAGAGCACUUCCCUCCUAAGGAAGGGGUCGAGGGUUCAAAUCCCUUCGGGUCCG
rnacentral:tRNA from 1 species